AUUGGGCAGAAUUCCAGUCAAUUUGUUGUAUGAUAAAUCCAAGGACUGAAUUGCCUUGAGGGCAGAGAGCGACGGAGCUAUUUCGCCUGUCAAUUUCCUUGAACUGAGGUCCCCGUUCACAGUUCAUAGAAUCAUAAUCUAAGUAACGGUGUCCAGGGCAAAGAAAAUACAUAUUCUUAUGAAUUUAAAUGUGCACUACUCACAUUGAGAUGAUCCUUGGAGGAUUGUU
rnacentral:misc_RNA from 1 species